GAUGAACGCUGGCGGUGUGCCUAAUACAUGCAAGUCGUACGCAUUCUCGUUUCUGAUUGACGGUGCUUGCACCUAAUUGACGAGACAUUGGAAUGAGUGGCGGACGGGUGAGUAACACGUGGGUAACCUGCCCAGAAGUGGGGGAUAACAUUUGGAAACAGAUGCUAAUACCGCAUAAAAGUCAAAACCACAUGGUUUUGAUUUAAAAGAUGGCCUUUGUGCUAUCACUUCUGGAUGGACCCGCGGCGUAUUAGCUAGUUGGUAAGAUAACGGCUUACCAAGGCAAUGAUACGUAGCCGAACUGAGAGGUUGAUCGGCCACAAUGGGACUGAGACACGGCCCAUACUCCUACGGGAGGCAGCAGUAGGGAAUCUUCCACAAUGGGCGCAAGCCUGAUGGAGCAACACCGCGUGAGUGAAGAAGGGUUUCGGCUCGUAAAACUCUGUUGUUAAAGAAGAACGUAUCUAAGAGUAACUGCUUAGGUAGUGACGGUAUUUAACCAGAAAGCCACGGCUAACUACGUGCCAGCAGCCGCCGUAA
rnacentral:rRNA from 1 species